AGGCGGGGGCGAUUGGAGUGGGAUACACGUCAACUGCUGCCUGGAUUGCAUAUCAUCCCCAUGGGCUAAUAGGAAUGCUGGGAGCUUGGCCCGCGAUUGAAAGCAUUGGAAAAAAAGGGAUGGAUUGAGUGCGGGUGGUUCGAGAUCCUUACAUACGGAUAUACGAGUAGGGUUCAUACCUCUUGGUUGGCUGGUUGACACGAAGGGAUACGGUUUUUGGGAUAGAUUAGGUUGGACCUUCAGAUUUCCAAGAGUAGCUAGCUGGCCCCUAGCUUCUGUUCCAUUCCAUUCCCAUUUCUUGAAAUUGAGUCAGGAUGUUUGUUUCCAAUUACUUCAUUCCAGUGACUCCUCUGCUUCCAUCUCAUUUUUCUGGUCACGUAAGGGAAGCCGCGUCUCUCAAAGCACCUAGCUUAGAUGAUGAAGCAAGUGAUCCUAUGGAGUAAAGGUGUGUUCGAAUCCUUUCCAUCAUGAAGAAAUAAGUGGUUCGACUCCCAAUGCAGGCUAAGCUCCCCCG
rnacentral:lncRNA from 1 species